rnacentral:rRNA from 1 species
AUGAAGCCGGAAUUGCUAGUAAUGGCAGGUCAGCAUACUGCCGUGAAUACGUUCCCGGGCCUUGUACACACCGCCCGUCACACCAUGAGAGUUGGGAAUACCCGAAGCCUGUGAGCCAACUGUAAAGAGGUAGCAGUCGAAGGUAGAAUCAAUGAUUGGGGUGAAGUCGUAACAAGGUAUC